UACGUAGGUGGCGAGCGUUGUCCGGAUUUACUGGGCGUAAAGGGAGCGUAGGCGGGCUUUUAAGUGAGAUGUGAAAUACUCGGGCUCAACUUGAGUGCUGCAUUUCAAACUGGAAGUCUAGAGUGCAGGAGAGGAGAAUGGAAUUCCUAGUGUAGCGGUGAAAUGCGUAGAGAUUAGGAAGAACACCAGUGGCGAAGGCGAUUCUCUGGACCGUAACUGACGCUGAGGCUCGAAAGCGUGGGGAGCAAACAGG
rnacentral:rRNA from 1 species